rnacentral:rRNA from 1 species
CACGUAGGGCGCAAGCGUUGUUCGGAUUUAUUGGGCGUAAAGAGCUCGUAGGCGGUUUGUCGCGUCGACUGUGAAAACCCGAGGCUUAACCUCGGGCCUGCAGUCGAUACGGGCAGACUAGAGUUCGGUAGGGGAGACUGGAAUUCCUGGUGUAGCGGUGAAAUGCGCAGAUAUCAGGAGGAACACCGGUGGCGAAGGCGGGUCUCUGGGCCGAUACUGACGCUGAGGAGCGAAAGCGUGGGGAGCGAACAGG